AUACCAAUACAAUGCCAAUGGUGUUGUGUUUGGAAUGAGAGUAAUCUAAAUAUUUACUCGAGGAACAAUUGGAGGGCAAGUCUGGUGCCAGCAGCCGCGGUAAUUCCAGCUCCAAUAGUGUAUAUUAAAGUUGUUGCAGUUAAAAAGCUCGUAGUUGGAUGUCGGUAGCUAUCAUGAGUGUCUACUCUCAAUGAGUACGUACACGAAUGUAGUACCUUCUUUCUGGUAGUAAUCUUGUAUUGCUCCAGAUAUUUUACUUUGAGAAAAUUAGAGUGUUCAAAGCAGGCGUAACUUUGCCUUUGAAUAUAUUAGCAUGGGAUAAUGAAAUAAGACUUUUGCCUUAUUCUCGUUGGUUCUUUUAGGCUUAAGUAAUGAUUAAUAGGGACAGUUGGGGUUAUCUGUAUUUGAUCGCCAGAGGUGAAAUUCUAAGACUGAUCAAAGACAAACUACUGCGAAAGCAUUUAACAAGGAUGUUUUCAUUAAUCAAGAACGAAAGUUGGGGGAUCGAAGAUGAUCAGAUACCGUCGUAGUCCCAACCAUAAACUAUGUCGACCAAGGAUUCGAAAGCGUUACAUGAAUGACCUCUCGGGCACUUAUAGAGAAAUCAUAAGUAUUUGGAUUCCGGGGGGAGUAUGGUCGCAAGGCUGAAACUUAAAGAAAUUGACGGAAGGGCACCACAAGGAGUGGAAUAUGCGGUUUAAUUUGACCCAACACGGGAAAACUUACCAGGUCCAGACACAAGGAGGAUUGACAGAUUGAGAGCUCUUUCUUAAUUUUGUGGGUGGUGGUGCAUGGCCGUUUCUAGUUGGUGGAGUGAUUUGUCUGGUUAAUUCCGUUAACGAACGAGACCUUAACCUAUUAAAUAGUAACAUCUACUUGGAUAAUUUACUUCCAAUAGUAGGUGGUUUACUUCUUAGAGGUACUCCUCACGUAAAGAGUGAAUGGAAGUUUGAGGCAAAAACAGGUCUGUGAUGCCCUUAGAUGUUCUGGGCUACACGCGUGUUACACUGAUACAUUCAACAAGUAUAAUAUUCCUUACUCUAGUGAGUCGGGUAAUCUUCUAAAUAUGUAUCGUGAUGGGGAUAGAGCAUUGUAAUUUUUGCUCUUGAACGAGGAAUUCCUAGUAAGUGCAAGUCAUUAACUUGCGCUGAUUACGUCCCUGCCCUUUGUACACACCGCCCGUCGCUCCUACCGAUGAAUGGUCCGGUGAGGAUUCGGGAUGACCUUUGAUGCUGAUCUAAAUCACAUCACUGUUUGUCAGAACUUAUUCAAACCUUAUCAUUUAAA
rnacentral:rRNA from 1 species